CGGCCUUUUUACAUCUCUUCGCUGCCCCCUUCCUCGUGCGACUCGCCCGUUCCUCCACAGAUAAGCUUUCCUCUCUCGUGCGGCGAUCCCCUUUUCCUCCUUCGUGCGACAGAUCCUACUCCGGCAAGAGACCGCCGCCCUUGUGGCCAGCAUCUCCAUCGUCGGCGUCCGCGUUGUCCAGGGCUCCGUCAAGCUCGGCGUCAUCUAGGGUUCCGGCAAGCCCGGCGUCGUCUAGGCUUCCGCCAAGCUCGGCGUCAUCUAGGUCCUCGUCAAGCCGGCAUCCACAAGGACGAUCUAUAA
rnacentral:rRNA from 1 species